rnacentral:rRNA from 1 species
UACGAAGGGGGCUAGCGUUGUUCGGAAUUACUGGGCGUAAAGCGCACGUAGGCGGAUCGAUCAGUCAGGGGUGAAAUCCCAGGGCUCAACUCCAGAACUGCCUUUGAUACUGGCGAUCUCGAGUCCGGGAGAGGUGAGUGGAACUGCGAGUGUAGAGGUGAAAUUCGUAGAUAUUCGCAAGAACACCAGUGGCGAAGGCGGCUCACUGGCCCGGUACUGACGCUGAGGUGCGAAAGCGUGGGGAGCAAACAGG